CCAAUAGCGUAUAUUAAAGUUGCUGCAGUUAAAAAGCUCGUAGUUGAAUUUCGGGACCGAUAUGUCGGUCGUGCCUCGGUACGUACUGGUAUUUUCGGUUUCUCCCUUCUGACGAACCUUGAUGUCAUUAAUUUGGUGUCUUGGGGAAUCAGGACUGUUACUUUGAAAAAAUUAGAGUGUUUAAAGCAGGCUCACGCUUGAAUACAUUAGCAUGGAAUAA
rnacentral:rRNA from 1 species